UUUACAAUGGAGAGUUUGAUCCUGGCUCAGGAUGAACGCUAGCGGCAGGCUUAAUACAUGCAAGUCGAGGGGCAGCAGGGGUGUAGCAAUACACUCGCUGGCGACCGGCAAACGGGUGCGGAACACGUACGCAACCUACCCAUAACUGGGGAAUAGCCCGGGGAAACCCGGAUUAAUACCUCGUAACCUGGUGAAGUGGCAUCACUUUAUCAGUAUAGCUCCGGCGGUUAUGGAUGGGCGUGCGCCUGAUUAGGUAGUUGGCGGGGUAACGGCCCACCAAGCCUGCGAUCAGUAACUGGUGUGAGAGCACGACCAGUCACACGGGCACUGAGACACGGGCCCGACUCCUACGGGAG
rnacentral:rRNA from 1 species